UGGGGCUGAAAUGCUGAGUGCCUGACUUUGCCAGUUGGACUAACGAGAGUUGUGGGAACGUGUUAGUCCCUCUUAGGGCAGCUUGGUAAAGCAAAUCAAGAUGGAAAAGCCUCUGGGGCCCGAUUGUGUGUUGCCUGUGCACACUCAGUGAGCAUCUGGAGUUUGCUGGGAGUGUGAAAUUCAUCUUUGCAGGGUGGAGUGGCUCUCUGUUGAGCAAGCAGUGUGUUGCUGUGUCUUUUGUAGUAAAUAGCGUGGGUCAAGGUGAACCUAUGUCCUCUAUUAAACUUGGGUUUUUAUUUCCUUCCCAGGACGCCCACUCGCCUCGUUUCAGAGUAGCCUGACUGAUUUAAUACCGGAUGCUCAUACUGUAGUCUAUGUUAAACGAUCGGCUUCCUCAGGGAAAAGACUUUAGAGACAAUGAGAUCACAUAAAAUGAUCCUGGGAGGAACAAACCACUGGGGAGAAUUUCAUCUGCUGAAAGGAAUGGCUUACUUUCUUUUGCUUUGGGAUGGGAUCGCCCUGCCAGCUCAGAUAGAUGGAGUCAGAUGCUGCUGCCUCCUUGAUCAAAGCUCAGAUUUCUCAUUGCAGCCCUGCUAGCUUCCAUAUUUGUUCCCACACUGCUGUUCCGCAGUCCCAGUUGUAGUCAAAUGUCGCUAGACUGUGCAAUCCUUCACCUUGCUGCUUUGGUAACCAGCUUGUCAGCCAAGAAAUAGAAAUAGCUGCACAGGCUCCAGCUUGAGUAUGCUUAGUUAGUUCAGUCACCUCUGAAAACCUAUGGAUAACGCACCUUGGAGAAGAUAAUGGCUCCUUCUGCAACUGCCGAGCAGGAUUUCAUACCAGUGCAAAUGUAAAGGACUGGAUUUGAGCGAUGGGGCCAAGUUUGCAGGGUUGAGAUCCAUAACCAGAGGUUGAUGAUGGGGGUGGUCUUCCAAGGAGGGUCCUGAUUCCAUUCCUUCCAGGGCAGGGGAGGAAGGUGGUGUAUAAGUCAGCUUUGGAACCAAAUGUCUGCAUGUUUGGAUGCAGGAUUUAGGUUUGACCCUAUGUGAUUUGUAAUGCCAGAUCCCAUGUAUCAACCUUGAAGGUUUUUCUCUGUUACUUUCCAUGAAAGAACAAG
rnacentral:lncRNA from 1 species